rnacentral:rRNA from 1 species
GACGAACGCUGGCGGCGUGCUUAACACAUGCAAGUCGAACGGAAAGGCCCUGCUUUUGUGGGGUGCUCGAGUGGCGAACGGGUGAGUAACACGUGAGUAACCUGCCCUUGACUUUGGGAUAACUUCAGGAAACUGGGGCUAAUACCGGAUAGGAGCUCCUGCUGCAUGGUGGGGGUUGGAAAGUUUCGGCGGUUGGGGAUGGACUCGCGGCUUAUCAGCUUGUUGGUGGGGUAGUGGCUUACCAAGGCUUUGACGGGUAGCCGGCCUGAGAGGGUGACCGGCCACAUUGGGACUGAGAUACGGCCCAGACUCCUACGGGAGGCAGCAGUGGGGAAUAUUGCACAUUGGGCGGAAGCCUGAUGCAGCAACGCCGCGUGCGGGAUGACGGCCUUCGGGUUGUAAACCGAUUUCGCCUGUGACGAAGCGUGAGUGACGGUAAGGGGUAAAGAAGCACCGGCUAACUACGUG